rnacentral:rRNA from 1 species
UCACCAGAUAAGACAGACUGAAUGAUAGUCGGGCUGAAGACUCUACUUGACUAGCUGAGAGGAGGUGCAUGGCCGUCGUCAGUUCGUACUGUGAAGCAUCCUGUUAAGUCAGGCAACGAGCGAGACCCACGCCAACAGUUGCCAGCUCGUCCUCCGGGAUGGUGGGGACACUGUUGGGACCGCCUCUGCUAAAGAGGAGGAAGGAAUGGGCAACGGUAGGUCAGCAUGCCCCGAAUUAUCUGGGCUACACGCGGGCUACAAUGGGUGGGACAAUGGGUAUCGACACCGAAAGGUGAAGGCAAUCUCCUAAACCCAUCCGUAGUUCGGAUUGUGGGCUGCAACUCGCCCACAUGAAGCUGGAAUCUGUAGUAAUCGUGUCUCAAAAUGGCACGGUGAAUAUGUCCCUGCUCCUU